rnacentral:sRNA from 1 species
AUGCAAAUCAACCUGAUGUACUUUGUGAGUAUGUGAAUAUACACAAAAGUAAUAUCCUAAUGCCUCCCCGGCAUGGACAGGUAAGA